rnacentral:rRNA from 1 species
GAUGAACGCUGGCGGCGUGCCUAAUACAUGCAAGUCGAGCGAACAGACGAGGAGCUUGCUCCUCUGACGUUAGCGGCGGACGGGUGAGUAACACGUGGAUAACCUACCUAUAAGACUGGGAUAACUUCGGGAACCCGGAUCUAAUACCGGAUAAUAUAUUGAACCGCAUGGUUCAAUAGUGAAAGACGGUUUUGCUGUCCCUUAUAGAUGGAUCCGCGCCGCAUUAGCUAGUUGGUACGGUAACGGCUUACCAAGGCAACGAUGCGUAGCUGACCUGAGAGGGUGAUCGGCCACACUGGAACUGAGACACGGUCCAGACUCCUACGGGAGGCAGCAGUGGGGAAUCUUCGGCAAUGGGCGAAAGCCUGACGGAGCAACGCCGCGUGAGUGAUGAAGGUCUUCGGAUCGUAAAACUCUUUUAGUAGGGAAGAACAAAUGUGUAAGUAACUAUGCACGUCUUGACGGUACCUAAACAGAAAGCCACGGCUAACUACGUG